ACCUCGUGAUCCACCCGCCUCGGCCUCCCAAAGUGCUGGGAUUACAGGUGUGAGCUACCACACCCGGCCAAGUCACGUGUUUUAUAAAGAAUGAGGAAACAUUAAUCUGAAUCCUGACUUUAUGACCAGCUAGCUGGGUUGCCUUGAGCAAGUCAAAGCAAAGUCAAUUUCUUGGUAUGUUAGCUGUACAUAUAAAUACUGAUUAUAAUAGCUAUUACUUAUUGAUAAACUCCUGUGUAUCAGUGAUUAUACGUAUAUUACUCACAAAUACUACAAUAACAGUGUCAGAUAGACAUUAUUUUCAUUAUACAGAUCAAAAUGGUGAGGCUCAGAGAAAUUAGCUGUAACACCCGAGGCCAUACGGCAACUGCAGGACAGGGUCGUGAUUUGAAGCCAAGUUUGUCUGACUCACAGGCCUGGGCUAUUUGCCUUUAAAGUGAAGGGUUAUGUAAGGCAUUCUCUAAUUGGGUUAUCCUGGAAAUGCAGACUGAGUAUGUGAUUUCCACAGAACAAGACAGGGAGAAGGCCCUCCUCCUCUACACCUCAGAGGUAAGUCACAUCUCAGUUCCUGUUGGUCCAAAUGAACGCAGGCUGAGGCAAUGGCAGGGACCCAGAGCCCAGGCGGGAAGACUGCAGGGAUUUAAGAACUCGUUUACUUAGAACAGUGAAAAGGAAGUCAAGCGUGAACUUUCUGAGCUCCAAAGAUAUUCUCAGGGCCCAUUUGCGAAUAAGCAUAAAUCUUCAAAUUUAUCCAAAGUUUAGCAAAUUCACAAUGACAAAUGUAACAGUUCCUCUAAAUUGAAGUUCAUCUCUUGGCAGUUUUGGAGGCUUGGAGAAAAUGCCAGCAACAAGGACUUGGAAGGAAAUAAAUCUUUAGAUUCCCUGAAAACACAGAGAGUUAUUGUGGAAGACAUAUGGAGGACCCCAUACUGCGUUAAGAAAGAAAAUUUAUAAAUGUCAGCUUCAUAGCAGCAAUGUCGAAGGGAUUUCAGCAAUCCACACUGAACUACAAUAUGAAAAACAGGCUGCAGGUACACAUUUGCCAUGAAGAACUAAUUAUGCUUAAUCUGUGCUCUUUCUGGGAGGAGCGAAUGAGGAGAGAAGGAGAUCUUCAAAAUGAUAAUUAGUGUCAUCAUUGUCAAAUUCAAGUCCUCCUGACUUGUUGAAAAGCCAAAAUACAUAUUGUGACAGAGAAGUUCCCAUCAAAGAGUAUUAAGGAGAAUACCAACUGGGAAAGGACCAACUUCAUAAAAAUAAACAAGUAUGGCAUAAUGGUUGUGUGAAGCUGAUUCUCCUGGAAGGAAUAAUAAAAGCAAAAUACAUGAAGGCACCCAGUUCCGUAAGCUCCUGAAUUCAAAUACUCCAAUAUGAUUACCCUGAUUAAACAAUAAAUAAUGAAACAUACCCUGAUGGGUAAUUUUGUCAUGGAGCCUCUACAUUCUUAAUGAAAUCCAUCUGAACAUUGCUUAAUACAGUCGCAGAAGAGUGCUAAUUUAACCUGACUUCAACAAAUGCUUUAUUUUACCUCAUCUGCAUAAAUAAGAUGUGUUCACAGUUCGAAACAUGACAUGAAUGUGAAGAUGACGCUAUACAUUGGCUUGUGGGGAAGGACACCUGGAAUUGGCUCAC